AUCCUUUUGUAGUUCAUAAGUGUGAUGAUUGGGUAUUCACGCCAAUGUGUGACACGUGCCUUCCUCAAACUUUGUUACGAUCUCAGCACAAUUACCCAUCUGACG